UACGGAAGGCAGCAGUGGGGAAUAUUGCACAAUGGGCGCAAGCCUGAUGCAGCCAUGCCGCGUGUAUGAAGAAGGCCUUCGGGUUGUAAAGUACUUUCAGUCGUGAGGAAGGUGUUAAGGUUAAUAACCUUAGCAAUUGACGUUAGCGACAGAAGAAGCACCGGCUAACUCCGUGCCAGCAGCCGCGGUAAUACGGAGGGUGCGAGCGUUAAUCGGAAUUACUGGGCGUAAAGGGCACGCAGGCGGUUAAUUAAGUUGGAUGUGAAAUCCCCGGGCUUAACCUGGGAAUGGCAUUCAAGCUGGUUAGCUAGAGUCUUGUAGAGGGGGUAGAAUUCCAUGUGUAGCGGUGAAAUGCGUAGAGAUGUGGAGGAAUACCGGUGGCGAAGGCGGCCCCUGGACAAAGACUGACGCUCAUGUGCGAAAGCGUGGGGAGCAAACG
rnacentral:rRNA from 1 species